rnacentral:tRNA from 1 species
GGUGGCUCAGUGGUAGAGCACUUGCCUUGCAUGCAUGAGGCGCUGGCUUCGAUUCCUCAGCACCA